GUGGUUAAGUCCCGCAACCGAGCGCAACCCUCGACCUUAGUUGCCAGCAUUCAGUUGGGCACUCUAAGGUGACUGCCGGCUAAAAGUCGGAGGAAGGUGGGGAUGACGUCAAAUCAUCAUGCCCCUUAUGACCUGGGCUACACACGUGCUACAAUGGGCGGUACAAAGGGUCGCGAACCCGCGAGGGGGAGCCAAUCCCAAAAAGCCGCUCUCAGUUCGGAUUGCAGGCUGCAACUCGCCUGCAUGAAGCCGGAAUCGCUAGUAAUCGCGGAUCAGCAUGCCGCGGUGAAUACGUUCCCGGGCCUU
rnacentral:rRNA from 1 species